CCUGUCCUUGAGUUUGGGAAACUUCACGAAACUGGGGCUAAUACCGGAUAGGAGCUCCUGCUGCAUGGUGGGGGUUGGAAAGUUUCGGCGGUUGGGGAUGGACUCGCGGCUUAUCAGCUUGUUGGUGGGGUAGUGGCUUACCAAGGCUUUGACGGGUAGCCGGCCUGAGAGGGUGACCGGCCACAUUGGGACUGAGAUACGGCCCAGACUCCUACGGGAGGCAGCAGUGGGGAAUAUUGCACAAUGGGCGGAAGCCUGAUGCAGCAACGCCGCGUGCGGGAUGACGGCCUUCGGGUUGUAAACCGCUUUCGCCUGUGACGAAGCGUGAGUGACGGUAAUGGGUAAAGAAGCACCGGCUAACUACGUGCCAGCAGCCGCGGUGAUACGUAGGGUGCGAGCGUUGUCCGGAUUUAUUGGGCGUAAAGGGCUCGUAGGUGGUUGAUCGCGUCGGAAGUGUAAUCUUGGGGCUUAACCCUGAGCGUGCUUUCGAUACGGGUUGACUUGAGGAAGGUAGGGGAGAAUGGAAUUCCUGGUGGAGCGGUGGAAUGCGCAGAUAUCANGAGGAACACCAGUGGCGAAGGCGGUUCUCUGGGCCUUUCCUGACGCUGAGGAGCGAAAGCGUGGGGAGCGAACAGGCUUAGAUACCCUGGUAGUCCACGCUGUAACGGUGGGUACUAGGUGUGGGGUCCAUUCCACGGGUUCCGUGCCGUACUAACGCUUUAAGUACUCCGCCUGGGAGUACGGCCGCAAGGCUAAAACUCAAAGGAAUUGACGGGACUCCGCACAAGCGCGGAGCAUG
rnacentral:rRNA from 1 species